CGCGUGGGCGGGAUGGCGGACAGAACCCCCACCCCCGACUCCUGGCCGUUCCUGCUGACCCUCGGGCUGUGCACGCGUGGGCGUGGGCGUGGGCAGGACCCCCCCACCCACUCACACAACACCGGGUCCCUGCCGCGGACCCUGGGGCUGUGCACACGUGGGUGGUGUCGGAGUUUGAAAGGGAGAACUCUACAAGGACUCCAUGCGAUGUAUCACAGGAGCGAGCGCUCGUGGAAGGAGAGGCCGAGGGGGACAGCUCUAAGGACAGCAAGCAGCUUCUCAAGGAAACACCUGCGGCACGAGUGGGGGAGGAGGACAGAGGCUCCUUGAAGCCAGCGGGCUGAGACUUGGGGCUCUGAGAGCCAUCGGAAGGGCUGCACCCCUCCUUACAUGGGCACAGACAGCACAGCCUUUCCUCCCUACCCCCACCACCUCCCUAUCCCCUCCUCCACCCUCUCCCAAUCUCCUCCCUCUCUCCUUCUCCAUCCCCUCCCCCAGCUCCCUCCCUAUCCCCUCCCCCACACUCCCCCAUCUCCCUCCCCCGUCCCUUUCCCCACCCUCCUCUCCUCCGGACCAAGCUUCUGGCAGAGCAGUUCCAAAUUUGAGGAGCUGGAGCUGGGAAGAAUUGUUAAAGAAAGGACAAAGGAAGAAGACUCCUAUGGAUGAUCUAGAAGGUUCCUUUCUAUUCCAAGAGCCCUUGUUCUACCCACAACAAGCUGCAGUUCUCAGUGCUGACAAGGACAGGUGUCAUCCAUGCCUAGCAAGACACACAGCCUGGAGCAGGCCACGACUCGAGGAGCACCUGUCCCCCAAACCUGUUCUCCAUUAGUGAGAAGUUGGGCAUCUGAGCCCCAGCCACACGUUGGAGGACAGCACUUGUUCUGAUUCCAUCGUCAACCACAUCCCCCGUCCUCUGAGGACCACUAGGAGAAGCCCAGGGAGAGUGUCGUGAAGUACACCGGAGCACCCCGUGGGAUGUGGGAAUUCAGGUGCCCAGGGCUGCGGCUUUCCGCUCCCCGGGACAGGGCGGGGGGUGCGGCACUGGGCGCAGCACCAGCCGCCGACACAGAGCACGUUUGGGUCUUCCAGUUCACUGACGUUCCUCCCACAAGGAUUCCAACCUCGAGCAACCCUGUGGGGCUGACCACCCACGCCUUCCCUCUCCUCCCAUCUUAACUAAGUCCUGAGCCUGGGGGGGACCUCCCUCUGGCCCCUUCCUAGCUGCAUGCAGAAGGACCUGUCGUCCUCAGCUCUUAUCAGGGACAGGGUGUCCCUGCUCCAGCUCAACCCCAUCUCUGAAACUUUCUUCCCCAGACCUCAGCCUCCUGGUUCAGCUUUAUCUCAAAGCACCAGCAGGCCGAUCCUCCUGACCCCAUCAGACCCCCACCCAAACGGGCAGACACUCACACAGAGAGGACGGCUGGGGCUCCAGCUCUGUUCCCCAGAACCCUCCCAGGGAAGGCUGAACCCACCCCAAGAUGCUCACAUGUUCUAAUUCCCCACUGCCGGGUCUGCCUCUCCACCUUCUACAACAGGUUCUCAUCACACCUUUGUGAUAAAAUACAAAGCCUCCAUUUCUCUGCUCCCAGUUCCUGACCUGGAGCCAGGACCCCCUUGCAAUUUCCUGGGGGGCAGGAGCACAUGUGAUUGAAUGAGGCGAAGAGGCAUAGCUUCAGGUCAGGGCGGCUGGAGCUGGCAUCAGAGGCGGGGCCCCUCCAGUCGCACCCCACAUCCUCCGAGGAGCAGAGGGCUGGAGAUGGAUUUCGUGCUCCAUCACGCCCACGUGAGGAAUCCCCAUGAAAUUCCCAGCAGUGGGAACUCAGGGAGCCCCCGGGUCGGUGAACAUGCGGGGUGUGGAGGGGGUGAUGCCCCCCAGCCCCACGAGGGUCCUCCCAGACCUUGCCCUCUGUGCGUCUCCAUCUGGCUGCUCAUCUGCGUCCUUUACCCUAUGCUGGGUUCUGGAAUAAGCCGGCACGUGUCCGUGUUUUCCUGAGCUCUGUGAGCCACUGGAGCGAGUUCCUGAGCCCAAGGACAGGGCCGUGGGAGCCCGGGUGGAGAGCCACGCGGCCAGGAGUACCUGCGGCUGGUGUGGGGGCUUGGGCGGCCUGCAGGACGGAGCCCCUGGCCUGGGGACCAUGACACUACCUGCGACACACAGUAGGACGCCCAGGGCUGCCUAGAGAACCUGCCGGUGCAGGAAAUUCCCACGCGUGCCAUGUCAGCAGUGCUGGGAGUGGCCCUUAACCUCACUUGGGGGACACAUCUCGCUAAGGACACCAAGGAGUCUGGCCGCUCGCACCACCAAGGGCAGCGGGCGGGGCUGGUCUCCCUCUCGCUGGUCGAAACCGCUGCUCCCUCGGCCAUGGCCGUGUGCCUUCCUGCUGAAAGCCUUCUGGUAUCUGCCCUCCUCUGCCCCGGCCUCUCCUGCCCUGUGUGGAGCUUCCCUGAGUGCCAGCCCCCUUGUUCUCCAGCAUCUUCCUUCCUCCAGGAAGGGGUACGCCCCAUUCUCCGCCACCUGCAGGGCUUCUGGAUGGCUUCUGGUGGAACCGAGGCUGGGCUCUGCCCUGUAGAAAGCUGAGGUCACCGGAGGAACAGAGGCCAAAGCAGGAGGGAGGCAGCCUGGGCUGUUACCCUGUCCCUGGUUGUCAUCUAUAGGCUUCGGAGACCAAGGGAAACACAGCUGUGGUGGCCCAUCACACGACAUUUUAAGCACUACAGUUACUCAAAAGCUUGUUCGUGAAAGAGGUGGUUCUCUCCGAUUUCUAGGAUGUGGGUCAUUUCGGAGCAGAACGACCAGCCAUUGAUUCGAUGAAGCCAAACCAUCCCAAGGGACAUUGCAUUUGAGUUGCCCAAACAAACGGUCUCCUCUGGGCCCUGGCUCCCCCUCGGUGCACCUGCUCCCGGGAAGUCCCGCUCCCAGGCCAGCCGUCUAUCCUGCUGAGCAGGGAGCCUGAUGUGUGGCUCCAUCCCGGGACCCCAGGAUCAUGAGCUGUGCGGAAGGCAGAUGCUUAACCGACUGAGCCCCCCAGGCACACACACCCCCCAAAAUUAUUUCCGGCUGUGUUGUUUAACAAGCAGACCACCAGGUAAACAAAGAGCCCCACCCUUUCUAGCUCUAAGAAGCUGGCCCUUGCUGGGUUAGAACCAGCCAGGACUUGAAACCGCGGUAGAAGGGCUAUGACUCA